UUUCAAAUAGUUACCCAAAUCAACACGUGUAGUGCAGGAGGGGGAAACCACAGUUAUGAAGUUCGGUUACAGGAAAGAACAUGCAGUUGUGGGAAAUGGCAAAACAUAGGGAUCCCGUGUUCACAUGCAAUCAGAGUAUGUGACUAUUUAAAUAUUGAUUCGACCACAUUUAUUCACCCGUGUUAUGGUUUGAACAAUGCCAUUAACACUUAUGAGCAUGCAUUUGUGGUUCCUAAGUCGAUGGCUUUGUGGAGGGAUCCCAUAGGGCCAAAGUGGUUGCCUAAUCCAGCAUUGUUGCGGGCCAAAGGUCGACCAGUGAAGUCGAGAAUAAGGAAUGAGAUGGAUGGAGUGAGGAAUAAGGUUCGAGAACCGGGAUGGCGGAGGGAGGAUGCAGAUUUGAUAGAGAGUCAGUCCAAGCAGACAUGUGGACUGUGUCAUGCUUCCGGGCAUAACCGCAGAAAAUGUCCGCAGUCCCGUGGCGCUUCCACAAGCGGUCAUGUUCCACACUAGGCAUGCUUCCAAGGACGAUGUUUUUGUUGUGUGGACAGCCGAUGUUAGGAAAAGUGACUACGUUGUAUUGGGUCUAUGUGAACUUUUUGGUUUUUGUUGAAUGUACUUGUAAAUCUCUAUUGAAUGUAUGCCUAUGAAGAUUGUGAUUUCAAUAGUAUGGUUAGAACUGCAAAUUAAGCGUGGUUGGGCAUGUUUAGAAUGUUGAUAUUGAGAAUGCCUUUUCUUGCGAUGUAACUGCAUUUUGCAUUGUAAAACCAUGUUUAUACAGAGAGCGUAGAAGUUUCAGUA